ensembl:snRNA U6 U6 spliceosomal RNA
UUACUUUAGUAGCACAUACACUAAAAUUGUGAUAAUACAGAGAAGAUUUGCAUCUUCCCUGUGCAAUGACAACACACAAAUUUAUGAAAUAUUCUAUGUUUUU